AGAAAACUUGUCUCGAAAAAACCAAAAAAAAAUAAUAUAGAAGUCAACAAACAUAGCUAAGUAUGAUGAUAUGUUCAAAAUCCCAGCACUUGAGAAACUAAACCAAUAGGUGUCUGGUAUCAGCCUGGCUACAUCAUGAAACUUUACCAAUCAAAACACAACCAAAAAGUUAACAAGUAUAAUAUCCUAGUUAGUGUGAGUGAUCUGUAGUUCUGGGUUCUUUUAUUUUUAAAGAGAAAUUAUCUCUAAAACAUGGCAAUAUAGAAAGAAAAAAACCUGAACAUUAAAAGAGUAAAUUGUAUACUGGAUGAAUCACUUACAAAGAGAGAGGAGGUGUCCAGGACACCAUGAGAACACAGCCCACAUAAUCAACAAUCAACUAAGCAGGGUUCAUAGGGGCUCCUAAAGACUGAAGAAGCAGCAAUCACAGAGCCUGCAUGAGUCUGACUAGGUUCUCUGAAUAUGUUACGGUUGUUAGCUUCUUGUGCGACAUCUAACAGUGGAAAUGGGGGUGUCACUGACUGUGUUGCCUACUCUUGGGACCCUUUUCCUCUUACUGGAUUGCUUCACACAACCCUGAAAGAAGAAAGAAGGGUUUAUGCCUAUUCAUGCUAUAACCUGUUAUGCCAUGUUCUGUUGAUAUCCUUGGGAGGCCUGCUGCUUUCUGAAGGGAAGUGAGGAGUAGAUCUGGAGGAAGGGGGAACUGAGAGGAGAGGAGGGAGGGGAAGCUGCGUUUUGGGAUAUACUGUGUGAAAGAGGAAGUUAAAAACUUCAAGGGAGACUGUGCCUAACCUGAGACAUGCUUAACACAAAAAGGUCUGGGCCACACCUCUGCACCAAAUUCCCAAAGCAGACUCAAGCAGAGAUGCAGUAGAGCUUGACUGCCUUCUGGUGUGACACAGACCAGGGACGUGAUGACUCACAAGAUUCCAUCACUGAAGUGCUCACAGGCUGUGAUGUCAGUAUCAGAGAGCCCUUGACCUUUCAACUCCAGGGAGUCAGCACUACCCAGUUGUUUUCUGUGUAGCACUUCUCAGUACACCUUCUCUUCUCCCUUGCCUUUCUCCACUCAGCCUUACCCUAGCACAUCUGUGGGGCAUAAGGAACACAUGUACUACAGACAAGAAUACAAAGACACAGAACCACAGUGUUUUGUGAAACUGGAGAGUCUGGUGUUGGAAGAAUUGAUUAAACUGCAGAAGGCGCUGAGACCCACACUAGGACCUUGAGAAGAAAGCAGGCCACUCAUGGACUAAUCCUUCAGAUCUCUGUUCUUUUCCAGAGGCAAAAUCGCCAUGGUGGUGGCAGUGGCCUGCCUUAAGCCCACUCAGCCUCUAUGGAGCCAAGAUAAAAGGCACAGAAAGGGCUUCUGAGAAGGGGCUAGUCCUCCACCUUUGACUAGCCCAAGAUUCACAUCCAGAUUCCAAUAUUUGUUAGAAAAGAUGAGACCUAUCACUUCAGUGUCUCUUGGAAAAUCAGCAAAAAUCUAUUCAAAAUGUACCAAAGAAAAUUCUGAAAUGACAGAUAGCACAUUAAGGAGCCUUAGACUACAAAAAAAGCUAACUAAAAAAUACCAAGAGCAGGUGAACCACAGCAACAACAGAUCAAGUUAGAAAAAUCCAUUUGGGGAAAUCACAUAUGAGAGUAGCAUAUAUAAAAUGUCACUUUCCCAGACACUGUUUUUAUAUUUUCACUCCUUGGUGGUCAUUUCCUCUACAUCCUGAAAAUAAUCACCUGUCUCUUCAAAAUCAAUGACUUUAGAAAGAAAUCUCCUCUUGAACAUCUUCCAGUGAAAUGAGAACUGAAGCCUUCAUAACAACAGCAACAAAAGAUUCCAGUGCAAAGAAACAAACAACAAUAGGAAGAUGAGAAAAGGAAAUGGAGAUUUGGUGGAGGCUGGAAGAUAGAAGACAUCUUCUGGUUACUUAGAAGAGAAGUGGAAGUAGGAAAAGCUCCACGAGUUUGAAAGCCAGAGGCUUUGUGCUUAUACAGGGCAAUAGUGACACUUGUCUGGCUCCUCCACAAGAAGGAAUAAAAGCCCUGGGAGAGUUCUGCACAGAGAUUCAAGGUCAUUGCAGUGAUACCUUGUGAAUUCUGAUCCUCACACAUGCUCCCCAGUCCUUUUGCUUCAGAGAAAUCUCCCAUCCAGGGAUUGUGAUUUCCUCUAAAAAAAAUAAGCCUGUGAAGUGCUGUGCCGAAAAUCCUGGAGUGUGUGUGGCUGCCUAGCCUUCUACUGCGGAGUCUCUGACCCCACAGAGACACGGAUGCCAGACAGGCAUGCUUAUGUAAACAGUUAAGGGAAGUGAGUCCAAGCCUCCAGAACUUGAACCAGUCACCCUCCCUUCUCCAAAUUUCAUUUCCAAGGUUUCAAUCUAUAGUUCAUUAAAGUCCAAAGAUGAUAAAUGAAA